CCAGUCUCUCCAAUUCCUUCUCCGGGAUCGGAGCUAAACAGUGAGAAAUCUGAACCCUGCCGGGUUCCAACCCAAUCCUAGAUAUCCGUGAUUGCAAUUCAUCCUCCCCUUAAAACUAGAAUGAACCAGGGAGCUUGAACCCACGUAGAGCCUUCGGAAAAUGGGUUCAAUUGCUGAACUACUGAGAAACGAUUGGGUAAGGUGUCAGGAGGAGAUGAUGAAGAUGUCGAGUACCCUGGUGGAAACCGUCUCCAUCAACUACGAGGACUUCAACGAGUCCUUCUUAACCUGCGGAACCUGUUUAUGUAAGUAUUUAUUUAUCUACAGGGGGGCCCAUAAAUCUGU